rnacentral:rRNA from 1 species
UUUGUCUUUAGGCAAAUGUGAGAUGCAGUGUAUGGAAUGUCAAAUUUCUAGUAUGAGAAAUUAACGAUUUAAGUCCUUCUUAAAUGAGGCCAUUUACCCAUAGAGGGUGCCAGGCCCGUAUAACGUUAAUGAUUACUAGAUGGCAUUUCCAAAGAGUCGUGUUGCUUGAUAGUGCAGCACUAAGUGGGUGGUAAACUCCAUCUAAAACUAAAUAUAACCAUGAGACCGAUAGUAAACAAGUACCGUGAGGGAAAGUUGAAAAGAACUCUGAAUAGAGAGUUAAAUAGUACGUGAAACUGCAUAGAGGUUAAGCCCGAUGAACCUGAAUAUCCAUUAUGGAAAAUUCAUCGUUAUGAUUUUAAUAUAUUAUAAUAAUGGUGUGCAUUUUUUCCAUAAAGGACAUUGUAAUCUAUUAACAUUAUAAUUUAUCAUAAGAUCGCGAAAGUUUAUUCGAAUUAUUUUGAUUUCAAUUUAACAUAGAAUAAAUGCAUUUGAUUUGAUAAAGUGUUGAUAGAUUUUAUAUAUAGUGCUUAAAUAAUAUUUUAUGAUAGCAUAAUGAUCAUUGAUUUUUAUGUUUAUUAUAUGCACUUAUAUGAUUAACAAUGCGAAAGAUUCAGGAUACCUUCGGGACCCGUCUUGAAACACGGACCAAGGAGUCUAACAUAUUUGCAAGUUAUUGGGAUAAACCUAAUAGCGAAAUUAACAUAACAAUAUGGGAUUAGUUUUUGGUAUAUUAUUAAUUCAAUCCCGGGGCGUUCUAUAUAGUUAUGUAUAAUAAUAUUUAUAUUAUUUAUAUCUCUAACUAGAGCGUACCUUGAGCAUAUAUGCUGUGACCCGAAAGAUGGUGAACUAUACUUGAUCAGGUUGAAGUCAGGGGAAACCCUGAUGGAAGACCGAAACAGUUCUGACGUGCAAAUCGAUUGUCAGAAUUGAGUAUAGGGGCGAAAGACCAAUCGAACCAUCUAGUAGCUGGUUCCCUCCGAAGUUUCCCUCAGGAUAGCUGGUGCAUUUAAAAAUUAUGUAAAAUAAUCCUAUCUGGUAAAGCGAAUGAUUAGAGGCCUUAGGGUCGAAACGACCUUAACCUAUUCUCAAACUUUAAAUGGGUAAGAACCUCACCUUUCUUGGUAUGAAGGUUGUGGUUGUGAUAUAAUGUGCCCAGUGGGCCACUUUUGGUAAGCAGAACUGGCGCUGUGGGAUGAACCAAACGUAAUGUUACGGUGCCCAAAUUAACAACUCAUGCAGAUACCAUGAAAGGCGUU